GAUGGGGAUGGAAGACCCCAAUCAUUUCCUCUACUUAAUUCAUUGAGUGAUCUCUUGAUGCUACCAAAAGACAUGCUUACAGAUCGUUCAAUCAGAGAAGAGGUGUGCCCUUCGAUUAGUCUUCCGCUGAUUACAAGAAUACUUUGUAAUUUCACUCCAGACGAGUUCUGCCCUGAUCCCGUUCCGGGAACCAUCUUGGAGUCCCUUAAUGCUGAGAGUAUUGUCGAAC
rnacentral:misc_RNA from 1 species